rnacentral:rRNA from 1 species
GACCGGCGCACGGGUGAGUAACACGUAUCAACCUGCCGUCUACUCUUGGACAGCCUUCUGAAAGGAAGAUUAAUACAAGAUGGCAUCAUGAGUCCGCAUGUUCACAUGAUUAAAGGUAUUCCGGUAGACGAUGGGGAUGCGUUCCAUUAGAUAGUAGGCGGGGUAACGGCCCACCUAGUCUUCGAUGGGUAGGGGUUCUGAGAGGAAGGUCCCCCACAUUGGAACUGAGACACGGUCCAAACUCCUACGGGAGGCAGCAUG